GAAAAGAACAAGCAAAUCCACAAAUACUAAUAUAAUAAAUAUUAGAAAUAAAGGCUUUCUACAUAUACAUAUAUUGUCCAAAACAACGAUUUUUAUCAGCUGUAGCAAAGAAUGAAACUUCAUAGAAGUCAAAAUAUGAAGAAAUCAAUAUGUCUAGAUACCCCCUUUUCUAUGGAUAAAAGAUCUAAUUGAUAAAGGAAGCAUCGUAAGGAUCCAUUAACGCGGUUUUGAACCGAUACAAUAAAAACUGCUUACUUAUCUUAUGAUAGAAAAGUCAAGAAUCCACUUAUGUAAUAAAGUAGAUCCCCCGAUAUUUUGAGCAGCCGUGUAGUAUCAAAUCCCAAAGAUAGAAAGUCUUUUCUCUUUAUUUUAUAAAUAAGAAAGAAAAGACUUUUUCCAAGAUUCUAUAGAAAUGG
rnacentral:lncRNA from 1 species